rnacentral:hammerhead_ribozyme from 1 species
AUCCAACUGACGAGUCCUAAAUAGAGGGAAACACGUGUCUUGGAU